ACCAUUUUUGGCAAAUGAUGAUAUGGGGGAUGGAUUGACCUUUUUUGAAAUGCUAAAUAAUUUUUUAGGAUCACUACAAGCAGCCAUGUCUAAAACUGGAUUCUCCAACUCUAAGAAUUCAAGUUCACAACUAGCGCCAUCGGGACAGACAACUGCAUGUAGCACCUCCCAACCUAGGAAGCCAAGAACACAGACAAAGUGACCAACAGACGUCGUAAAAGCUGAGGGCAUCGACAGCGACAGGGUCGCAACUGAUGAUGCUGGUCUGAAACGGUGGCGAAUGCUCUGUGGAUUAAUCGCCGGAAAAAGGGUUGGAAUCAAUGUCAAUUUUGAUGCUAUGGACGAGCCCACACGAUAGGCCUUCUUCGAGAUCAUUCCGCAAUUCUUGGAGUUUCCUGAGGGCACAACUAAGGCACAAAUGAAUCUUGUAAGAUGAACUGCAUUGAAGUCAAUCUGUAAGCUCCACAGGCACUUCAAGUCCACUCUGGUAUGAAAUUUUGCCAACAAUGGCACGGAGCCCUUCGACAUGCACAAGCACUUGGAUCAUCGAGACUGGGAGACGUUCAUCGAGAAUACCACCUCUGAGCAGUUCUUAGAGAAGAGUGGGCAGUUCAAGAACCUUAGUGGUAGGAUCACGGACAACCAUCCCUAGGUCCAGAGGGCUAUGCUGGGAAGGAGAAGGGGAAGUGUCGCAAAGAGGAUGAGGCAAUGGAUGUGGCGGGGUCUGAGAACCCUUGGAAACAGUUUUCUGGACGGUCAGCGCCAUAUUUAAGGGCCAGGGCUGAUCCAACACGAUCCACCUAGGAAAUCACCUGGGGUAGCAACGGUACCAAGAGGCUAGCCGACCGGGUGAUCGAGCUGAAGGAUAAAGAGAGCGGUGCAAGAGAACAUGACAUCCUGUCCACUGCCAUUGAUACGCUAGAGCACAGAGGUCGCGUGCUGGAGUCUCUAGUUUGAAGGGUUGGAAGGGAGGCUUCGGACCAGAAAAUGAAGCCUUGUGGAAGAAGAAGAAAAGGACAUCUGUGGAUCCGGAGCGAUUGAAAAGAGAGAUAAUGGAUGAAAUAUUUGGGAAGCUCAGGGCAGCGGGUAUUGAUGUUGACACAGCAUUAGGUGCGUCCCAUGGCAAGAGCAGUUGCGUCUCUAAGGAGGUGGAUCAGCAACUAGAACAUAGGCAACUUGAAGGAGCAGUAGGUGCACCGUCCUCACCCUCCCCCUCCCCCGUGGUGGCCCCGACAAAUGCCUGCAUUCUAGCCAUGAUGAGCAGGACACAUUCGACACAUUUGACCAGCUAAAUGGUCCAACUGCCUGCAGCCUUAAAGUUGGAGGUUUCUCAAUAUUGUUGAUGGAGCUAGCACAGGGGUUUGUGCUACCGAGGACAAGGUCUGCAACACGGUGUCAGUGCAGGAUGGGUAUGUCAUGGUGAAGAUUGAUCACGUCCAUCCAAAUGCAGAACCCUUCCCUCUCGAUGUCCCGAAGACAGCUGCCAAUAUUUUUACUUUGGGGGAUGCCCGUAACAUGCAGAUCCAGUGGAAGAAAAGUGCAAUUAGGAUCCUGCCCCCUUGGUCGGUCCACUGCAUCAUCUUUAGGACAACCCUCAGCUACUGGUUCACAAAAGCGGCCACGCACCCCAACGCCUGAACUUGUGAAAGCUGACACUGCAACGAGCCCCCCAAAGAAAAAGGGAUGAAGCACCCCAAAGAAAAAGGCAAGGGUAAUGCGGCAGCAGCAAAAAAGGCAAAGGAAGCCAAGGGUAAGGCGGCACCCAAUGAACCCCAAGCAAAGAGUGCAUGGACUUCUGCUCACCCCAAGUUUGUAAUGGGCAAGCCAAUGAUGACAGCGGAGGAUCUAGACGCUGCAGGGGUGAAUACCAGGGGACUCCACAAACACUACAUUACCCAUGGCAUGAACGAAGGGCGGUCAAUCGUGGGUGAAUUCAAGAAGGGGGACUUGCACAGUGGGCCUAAUUAUUUCUCCGUUGCAUGGUCUGAUCUCUACAACGUCUUCAACCUCGAUGCCUUGGACGUCUCACUCAUUCGUUGCUUGACACUGCAAUUAAACAAACAAUCAAAGGAACGUCACCUCGGUGUUGCUUUCAUUGACCCCCAAUCCUUCUCAGCCACCGUCAUCAAUCAAGACCCGGACCAUGUAGCAAAGACCAUCGAAGAUGUCUUGAAGUCUAACGAUGUAGGUUGUGUUCUUGCCGCGCACCACACAGGCUCCCACUAUUUGCUAGUCGUCAUCUGUCCGAUGUGGGAAAAAGUGUGGUACUUGGACUCUGCUAGACCACGCAACGACUACGGCAGGGACUACACCAGCAUCAAGACAGUUAUCGAUCGGUAUAUCUCUGACUUACCACAUUUGCAAUUUUCUCAUUUGCGACCGGUCACAUAUUUUGCAGCUAACGACAUCCAUAACGCCUAAUGCAGUGGUUUCUCCUCCUUUCGAGCCGACCACCAUCUUCCGAAAACCAUUGACACACGUGACCGAUUUUUCAAUAUAUCUCUAACGGCGCGCAUUCUAUCUUUUCAUGAUUUGAACAAAUAUAUUUGACCUAACACUAUAUCAUCUUGUGCAGUGCAUGCAACAAGGAUCUGGAAAUGAAUGCGGGUUCUAUGUUGCAUACCACAUGAUCCGGAUUACUGCAACUUUCAAAAAUCAAGGAGUAAAAGGCAUCCGGGAUGACAAGGAGAGAUUGGAGAAGCAGCAGCUCGUGGCUAUUAGAUAAAAACUGGCCUCCUUCUUGGUAGACGUUAUAAGCUUGCCUCCUUCUUUGUUUAUAUACUACUAGUAGUUUCCUCCUACUCCCUCCAGUUCCUAGAACAAGAAGUUGUUUUGGACAAUGACACAGUCUCUAAGAAACAAUUUUGACCACUACUUUUUUAUAAAAUAUUCA